CCAAGUCAUUGCUUAUCAAAGUUGGAGAAAAAUGAACGAUCUUUUUUCCUUCUCGGCCCAGUCUCAGAUGAAGGAAGCCAGGAACUGAGGCAACCAGCAGAAAUAAUAGGAUGUGGGCUGAAGAGCAGAGUGAGAUGCUACCGGAGAGAUUGCAACCAAGAGAGAAAAGCACGCCGAGGAUUCAGAGUUGAAAAAGCCCAGGCAGGGCUCACAGAUCCUGGAGACUCUCAGGGAGCAGAUCCGGCCACGAACAGAAGCGCUGCUUGCACUACUAUGUGAAAGUGCUGGGUGGCAGGGCACCUCGGGAAAGUCUAGCCAAGCCCUAUUACAAGAAGCCCAGGGAAUCCACCCUGAGAAUACUUAACACUGGCCGCACCAUCCAAAAGAAGGGCUUCUCUAAGGGGGCUGGAAGCAUCUAUGAAAACUGUAUUUGCCCCUUUCUCAAAUGUCGCCAUCUCAGAAGACUGCUUCAUAGCUGGAAAUCGGGAUAUUCACGGGAGCUGAAUGGGAAAGAUAAUUUAUAUAUUCCUUUUUUAAAUGUUGUACUGCUUCAUAGUGGCACGUCUGCUGAAGAUCCACAAGCCAUCAGAUAAAGUAGAGGAUUUAGUAGAAAAUUGGAAGAACAAGACUAAUUUUGCAUCAGAAGAGAGGAUGCUGAGCACUGGAAUUGGUGCCCCUGGAUUUGACCAGCGUUGG
rnacentral:lncRNA from 1 species